GUAACUUCAAACAACACUGCUCUGAAAUGUGUUUUAAUGGACUGGAAAUCAGUGAAUUUUCCAUAUUGCCCAGGAAAUAAAAAUGGAUGUCAUGAACUGAAAGCUGCAUUGCCAUUUGUACAGGCUGCCUGCAGAAACUCUGUCAGACUCGUACCAUUGUCAAAUGAAAAGAAAAGCUCUGCGAGUGGUCAGGUAGAAAUAGGUUCCAAGGCCCUCUUUUACCAAGGAAUUUAGAGUCAGCGGGAAGAAAGGGCCAUGUGGUUACAGCACCUCUAAGAAACAUGGUGAAGAAGGAGGACAAGUGAUGGAGAAGAGUACAGAUUCUUCUUGCUAAUCUGCAGCCAUACCUCUGAGCUUCACAUGGGAAGUCACCAUUUAUAACACCACAGUAGUGAGAUGCACAUUUCCACCUGUUUCGAUUGGAUUGAGUUGGUAUCCAAGGCUAUGCUAUAAAAUAUGCAAUAAUGA